rnacentral:lncRNA from 1 species
GAGCCACGGCAUGACAUCAGAUCCUUAACCUGCUAAGCCACCAGGGAACUCCAACACAUUCUUUUUAAAAUUAAUUUUAUUACCUCCUGGAUAUGUUGUGGUUAUUCAGUGUUUCUUGAAUGAAUGAAUGAAUGGAUGGAUGGAUUUUUAUUCCCACCAUCACAGUCCAGGCCUGUCUUUUCAUCAGCUUCUCCCUGGAUGACAGGAACAAGCCUUUGAUUGGUCCCCUCCUCUGGAUGCGCCUUCCCUCAGUGUCCUUCCUCUCCACACCCACCCAGUCCUGUCACACUUACAGAAGGGACCUCUCAUUUGCAAGGAGGGCAAACGAGGCGGCUCAGAGGAUUUCUCCUGCUCCUCUCACGAUCAAGGCUGGCCUCGGAACACACAGCUGCCCUCUCCCCUGGGUCCAGACCCCGGCGCCCUGCUCAGUGCUUCCUCAUUCUAACAAGUGCUUCUCUCAUUCAAUGGCUGCCUUUGCCUUUGCUUUUUCUCUCCUUUCCCCCUGCUGCUGGGUCUUGGAAAGGUCUCGAGUCUCUGAUGGGAGGUCAAGGGAAUCAUUCAGUUAGAAAAUUGAGGCCAUUUCGAUGGGGGAAUCUUUUCACAGCAUCUACAUACAGCAAAUCAUCAUGCUCUAUAUCUUAAAGAUCUUACAAUUUUAUUUGUCAGUUAUGCCCUAAUAAAGCUGAAGAAAGGAAUAUUAAGGCCAAAGGCUAAGACACCAGCAGGGUCUGAGGGCCAGAAGAUAGACUGGAGGACGCUGAGUGAGUUCCCCAAGAGGGGCAUAUCCCAAGGAUGGGGCUUGGGGGAUUUUGCAGCAGGAGGUGAGAGAAAGACAGACGUCUGUCUGAUCCUUGAGCUUGAGGUAGAGAGAGAGUUCAACAAAGAGGGUGAGGCCAGCAGCAGGAAUGCCGCUGAGGAUGGAGGAACCACGAGUCGCCUUCCGUGGCUGAGGUGGACGUGCUCCACGGCCCCUGGGAGCAGGGCUUGGGGCCUGGCUGUGACCAGAGGCCCUUAGGCUGGAUCUGGUGCUGCGGAACCUCCUGGUGAGGCUGGACGGUGAACCUGGAAGGGUGUGGACCCUCCAUCAAACCCCAGGGACAAGUGCCCGAGACCCCACUGAGCAGAAACAGGGUGGGACGGAAACCAAACAAAAUGCUCCUUUAAAGCCACCUGAAAUCCAUGUUUCAGGAAUGUUUGAUUUGGGGCUUCUCUUUCCUGCCGCCGGAUAUGUAAAGAAAACAAAUCUUUAAAGCUUCAACUCCAAAGAAAGAGCCCUCUGUGUGCCUAGUUAUGGCCCCUGCUUCAGGAACAAGCCUCUUUUCCUCUUUGGCCGGGACUGUAUCCAAGGCAGAUAAUGCCCCUGGGUGCAGCCCCAGUGUCUGCCAAGAGUUCAGAGGAGAGCUGGCACAACCAGACCUCGAGGCCUUCCAGAGGCUUCCGCACCAGGGGCCUGAGGUGGCUGACAGAUGGGGAUACCUCUGGGGAGUUGAGAGGGCCACACCCCUGCCCCAACCCAGGUCUGGCUGCUCUUCCCCUAGAGACAGAUACUUGGUGGGGGAAAGAGGGAGCUGAGACAUCACCCCCUCCUCAUCCCUGGCCACUUCCACAUGAUCUAAAUCAGAGCCUGCAAAAAGGGCAGGGGAAUGGAGCCAGAGGGACAGGGACUUGCUCAUGCCAGGCUUCCCAAGCCCGAGUCCGGCCCUCCCACUGCGCCCUUUACAGCAGCCCCGCACCCACGGGGCUGCGGCCGGUGUGAAGAAGUGAGAGUCUGGAGCGCCUUCCCUUCGUGCACUGUGUCAUCACACAAGCACCCAAGUUUCCCUUCUGCAGAUGUGGCUCGGAGAGACUAGGGACUUUUCUGGAGCCACAGCCCCAGGAAGCAACCACGGCUGCUUUGCAAACCGGGCCUCCUAAUGCCCAGUCUUGGCAUCCCACUGCCUGGCCAGGAAAAGGGCAGGCAGGAGAGUGUCUUUCCAUGUCGUGUUUGUCAGGGCUGAGGAACAGAUAUCUGGGAACUCCUGGGCAGGGUCUUUCCCAGCCCAGGCGGCCAAGGGUCCUGCCCAGGGGUCGGUACUCUUGUUUGAUGACCUAAUGUCCCCUCUGCUACUACAGGACAGACGAGGUUCAGGCAAAGGACGCUAAUGAUUCAUCAAAUAAGCCCUGCCUGGGGCCCGGUCUACCUCAGGGCUUGCGUCCAGACCAGGGACCCUCCCCUUUCGCCACUAAGAAAUGGACUCCCAGGAGGGCAGGGCAGGAAUAGCCCUGAGGACCCUCUGGAAAACUUGGUCGUUGCAGAGAGGGAGAUGAAGGCUGGAGGGCUGUCUAAGGGCACGUCCACAAAAGUAAGAGCAGCACCUUCCCCGCAAACCAUUUUGAAGAUUAAAUGAGAUAAGACAAGGGAUUUCCUGUUGUGGCAAAAUGGAAUCGGCAGCGUUUCUGGAGCACCGGGACGCAGGUUCGAUCCCUGGCCCGGCACAGUGGGUUAAGAAUCCGGCAUUGCUGCAGCUGCAGCAUAGGUCGCAACCGUGUAUCAGAUCUGAUCCCUGUCCAGGAACUCCGUAUGCCAAGGGCGCAGCCCCCCACCCUCAAAUAAGUAUAAAUGAGAUAAUAAAAGCCCAGCACUUAGCCCACAGUUAGCAUUCAAACCAGUCCUGGUAUUGUCAUCACUUUUGUGAUUUUGCCCACGGAAGCCAAGUUCCCAGGCCUCCAGGAGAAGAAAGAGUGCACUCCCUGCUCCAGCCCAGGCCUCCGAUCCACCUGGCGCCUCACCGUGGGGUGGAAAGGGCCGAGAAGCAGGAGGCUGAGGACCCAGCCUGCCUGGCCUCUCCUUGGCUACCUGACCCUGGAGACAAGCCCAGCCGAACCUCUCCCCCAGCAUCUGUGCCUUGAUGCUCUUCUCACUGAGAAAUAAGCUAGAUAUUCAGUGUGGGAAUUUCCAAUUUCAGCAGCAAAACUGUCCCGACCCGAAGCAGCUGGGGAAAAGCGUGUGCCUGGCGCAGAGGGGGAAGCCCCGGUCAGAGACAGACAAAGGCAGCCUGUGCCAGCCCUGCCUCUGUCCUGGCCCAGAGUUCUAGAAGGUUCCAUGCCCAGGCCCAAGGGCUUCCAAGAAUCACAGUUGAAAGUUAUUACUUGAAAGCUGUCAGACAGUCUACUUGGUGUUCCUGGAAGCUGUGGUCCGGGGAAGGUGAUGAGGGAUGGGCCGAGAGGGCCGGGGCGAGUGAGCAAAGCAGAGCAUGGAAGACGCUGCAAUGAGGAAGAAGAGGCGGAGGAACAAGCGAGAGGGGAGACCGAGAGGAAAGGGGGGAGCAGGUGAGGCAGAGACAGCCGCAGACAGACGGGGACACACAGGGAGGCCACAGAGAGAGGAUGGCUCCAAGCAAGGCCAGUUCACAGGGCUCAGAUGAUCACAGCUUUGGCUACUUUUAGCCUGGGACACUGCCAGGCCUAGAAACAGACGCGACAAGGUGCUUUCUUAACAGGAAACUCCCUCACCCGCGUGGGAGGGCAGAGCCGUUGGGUGGUUAUCUUGCUGCUCCCUUGAACAGGCUCAGCCCUCACCCCCAGGCCCCCUCGCCUGGGGGACACAGACUUGCUUGCGUCUCUGUGAAACUCCACUGCUCAGGGCCCCUCCGAAGACGCACCCUGCCCCUUGGCUGCCCAGCCACCAGGAAACCCCAAAACGCAGGAGUGGGACUGCUGUGGCCACAGUGACUGGCACCCCGAAGGCCCCAGCAGGUCCCAGAGUUCGGGCCCUGGCAUCCCCGGGAUCCUCUUAUGGGGACAAAUGCAACCCUUGGUUAAGCACCUGCCACGUGCCAGCACUGGGCCAAGCUCUCCACGUGCGCUGCAUAACAAAUCCUCAGAAGGGCACAAGGAGAAGUGACGAUUUGUCUCACUGGACAGCAGGAACCCAGGCAGGCAGGCUGGCUGCAGAGCCCACCACCACCCUCAGCUGAAAUCGUCUGUAAAUGCCUAAGAAGCCCAGUGUCAUGACAACGGUUAAAGUUUUGGCUCUGUCGCCUAGAAGCAGGGUGACCUCGGGCAAGCGGCUUGUUUUCUCAGUUCUGGUUUCCUCAUCUCUAAGACGAGAAUAACAACUUCAGUGGGGGGGGGGGUUAUUGUGAGGAUUAAAGGAGAUUGUGUGACCCAUAGAGCCCAGGCCCCACUGGGUGGGGCUCAGUAAAGGUUCAUUACCCGGGAUGGGCCUGCAAACCUUCAGCCUGGCCCCUUCCCUCCACCGCGCUCUGGGUGCAGGAACUAGCGGCAGAUGUGGGCAUCGCUGGAGCAUCACUUGGGUGCUGGGUGCUGUGCCCACAUGCCCAGGAGAGUCAGCCAAGGUGGGGCCUGUGCUCUGGGAGGUGUUAGCAUUCUGGCCCCUGGUCCCAUGCUGCAGCUACCUCCUCUGCCCUAUCUGCCCCUGCCUUGCCCCAUCCUCGAGCCACUGGCAGGGCCCCCUUGGGUGGGGCGGGCAGGGCAGGGCAGGGCUGAGCACAAGGCAGCAGGGCGGCAUUAUCGCUCCCAGCAGAGCUGGAGUCAGAGUUAAGCCUGUCUUUUUAUCAUGUCCCCAGGCCUGUGCUGACAUGCAUGGCCUGGCUCUGUGGGGGUGGGUGGGGGGCCCUAUGGUGGUUGCCCAAGGCCUUCCUCCUCUGAAAUGGUUCCCAGAGCAGGAAUGGGAGAGGAAAGCUGGCUUGGACACCGUGUCAUCCUAGGCAAUCCCUUCCCUCUCUUGAGAAAAAUCUAUAAAUUGAGGGUGGAGGGGCAGCUGAAUAAGGUGGCCUCUAAGGCGCUUCCAGCUCUAAAGAGUUAGGAUGCUGUGGCCACCUGUAAGCUAGCCAUGUGGCCACCUGUGAGCUAGCCAUGAUGGUCAACCUGUUUACAGACGAGGGACCUGCGGCCAAGCAAAGGGAAGAGACUCGAGCCCACAGCACACUAGCUCAUAGCAGAGCUGAGUGACACCCAGGCCACCUGACUCCCAGCCCAAUGCUCUUCCCACCCUACACAUCCCGACCUUCUAGAAGGAAAGGUCUGGAGAGGAUGGGGUGGGGGUGGGGCUGCCUCCUCCAGGCUCCCUCUCCUUCCAUCAGGUUCCAGGAAUGGGCUGCGGCUGAGGUCCAGACAUGUGGGCACCUGGGAGCCCUGGAGGGUUUGGGGUCACUCCUUGGCUCCUGUCCAAGGGACAGCAGGGCUUCCAGAGUGUGUGGAGAGCUGGCCCCAUUUUCAGGCCUUGAUAACAGCCCUUCCCAUAUCAGGGGACCAAGGACUGGGAGGGGUGUGCCUGGGAAUCAAGGGCAGGUUGGGCCGAAAUGAGGAGGCAGAAAGGGAAGUAGGGGAGUGCCCAUUGUGGUGCAGCAGAAAUGAAUCCAACUAGGAUCCCUGAAGAUGUGGUUCUGAUCCCUGACCUCACUCAGUGGGUUGGGGGUCCCGCAUUGCUGUGGCUGUAGUGUAGGCUGGCAGCUGCAGCUCUGAUUCAACACCUCGCCUGGGAACUUGCAUAUGCUGCAAGUGCAGCCCUAAAAAGCAAAAAAAAAAAAAAAAAAAA